UACGGAGGGUGCAAGCGUUAUCCGGAUUCACUGGGUUUAAAGGGUGCGUAGGAGGGCAGGUAAGUCAGUGGUGAAAUCUCCAAGCUUAACUUGGAAACUGCCGUUGAUACUAUCUGUCUUGAAUAUUGUGGAGGUGAGCGGAAUAUGUCAUGUAGCGGUGAAAUGCUUAGAUAUGACAUAGAACACCAAUUGCGAAGGCAGCUUACUUCACGAGUAUUGACACUGAGGCACGAAAGCGUGGGGAGCAAACAGG
rnacentral:rRNA from 1 species